rnacentral:lncRNA from 1 species
UUUACUUUUCUAUGAACGUUCCCAUGGCUUUCUAAAAACAAUAACUUAACAAUAGUGUAAAAUAACUGGGGGACAUCACCUUUAGUGAUGAACGACGGAACGUGCUGUAAGAACACUUGUAGGAACGUUGCUGCAGAUGUGAGAAUUCAGGGAACGAGAUGCAAGCUCAUCUCAGUGGGAAAAAGGAAUCAAUACAGGAUUAAUGUGCAAAACCUAUCAUUUCAUAAAAUACUUAGUGUCUCCCACAAUUACCAUAGCCAUGCCUGAAAUCAUGACAUGUGAGAGCUGCAGCCAGCUUCUCUCCAAAGGUCAGUGGAUGUUUGAAUUACUUUUUUUUUGCCAUUAAGGUGACUGCUAUUAGACUCUCUCUGCUGCUUGGUGUGUUUGUAGAGGGUUAAAAUAAUUGUAAAUAUAAAACAAAAAUUCAGAACUGAGUAAUACAUAUUUAUAAGGAAAUCGUAUUUGUUGGCAAAGUUUGUUUUGCUGACACUGUUUAUAAAAGCACAGGUGUGUGAUAAAAGCUUUUGGGUUGAAAGGAAUAUGCUCCUGAAUUUUGAUUGGAAUGUUCUUUUCCUUUUCUUCUGCCUCUUAUGAAGUACAUUUCAUUUUUAACAAAUUAUCUACUCAAAAAUAAUCAAGAUGCUCUCAACUAUUUAAGUUGCCAGAGACUUUCUGCUUGUUUUAUUUUUGUUUGUCUUAAAAGCACAGAACAGAAUUUCACUUCACUGGAGUAAAUGCACUGUGAUUAAUGUUUUGUAUGCAGAUUUCAGAUUGCGUUAUCAAAUCUGCAGUGAGGAGAUGUUGAUCAGAAGGUCUUAAAGGAGAAAAAAGACACAAGUUUUACUGGCAGAGAACUAAACCAACAGGUGCCACACUGACACAAGUGGGCACCUGAACUCUCUUGUGCCAGUGCCAAAGCACAUCCUGAUCUUUUUGCCCAGACUUGCUGUUUUGACAAAGGUUACUUGACCUGUAUUAUGAAAACUCUUGUUCCCACCACUUGUAUAAACUGUAGUCAUAUCUUUGCCAAAUGUGUUUAUUCUUUGCCAUGUGCUGAGUGCCUCUUCUAGUGCAAUGACUAUUUGGAAAGGUGUUUUUCCAGAAACACUACCUAGAAAAGCAAGUGUUGAAAGGGACUGUUGAUAGAUGAGCUUCCGUGUUUGUGGAGUAAUUAGGUGAAAAUACCCCAGAAGUGCUGUUGACCUGUAGUAGCUGCAGAUAUAGACAAACUCCCUUAGCUUGGGUUUGAGUGAAAAGUUUAAACCUA